ACAGGCCGAAAUCUAACUCAAUGAGGAUGCCAUCAACAAAUCAAACUCGACUCUCUUUCCUUUUGGCAUCUUAUCUUUAUCAAAAAAGUCCGAACCAUUUUUAGGUCUCGAGGGAGGACGGGAGGAGUUACUUGGCAGUCAGUAACGAGGAGAAAACGACCAGGAUCCUUUUGGCUGCAAUAAAGAUGUGAUUGAAAGAUCCUUAUUCUUGGCAAUUCCAGGUUAAAGAUGAGGAUAAGGAUCUUUCUCAAACUUUGUGACUAUUCUAAGAUUCGGUGUCAUUCCUGGUCACGAGGUGAUGUUUUAUGCUCUGUUUUGGGGAAAGAACUAGAAAUGUUAUCGUCCUCCCAAGUCGGCGACGUUACUGCUUCGUUUCUUCCAUGACCCACCUCGCGAUCUCUAUGGCCACAACAGACGCCUCUAUGCUCUCUCCCUCCGCCGCCUGAUUAUCGCUCCGAAAUGGAGACAUCCGCCCACGACGGCCUCCGCUUCUGGCAAUUCAUGAUCGCCGGUUCCAUCGCCGGCUCCGUCGAGCAUAUGGCCAUGUUCCCUGUCGACACCGUCAAGACGCAAAUGCAAGCCAUGGGCUCUCGCCCCGCCAAAUCCGUUCCCGUCGGAGUAGCACGCUCGCUCCGAUCCAUUUUGAAGUCGGACGGUCCGAUGGGCCUCUACAGGGGCAUAGCCGCCAUGGGCCUCGGCGCCGGCCCCGCUCAUGCCGUCUACUUCUCCGUCUACGAAGUCUGCAAGAAGUUCUUCUCCGGCGGUGACCCGCGCAGCUCGGCCGCCCACGCCGUUUCCGGAGUGUGCGCGACGGUGGCGAGCGACGCGGUCCUCACGCCGAUGGACAUGGUGAAGCAGAGGCUGCAGUUGAGGGACAGUCCUUAUAAAGGGGUGUGGGAUUGCGUGAGGAGGGUUCUGAAGGAGGAAGGCGUCAGGGCUUUCUAUGCCUCGUAUAGGACCACGGUGGUCAUGAAUGCUCCGUUCACCGCCGUGUAUUUCGCGACGUAUGAGGCGGCGAAAAGGGCUUUGACGGAGGUCUCUCCAGAGAAUGCGAAUGAUGAGCGGUGGGUGGUUCAUGCCACUGCUGGCGCGGCUGCCGGGGCGGCAGCGGCGGCCGUCACCACUCCGCUCGAUGUGGUCAAGACUCAAUUGCAAUGUCAGUCGUUUGGUCAUUGUAGCCGAAGGCCUAGAUUUUAAUCUGCACCAACAGUGAGCGCGGAUAUGUGCUGAUCUUUCCCUGCUUCUGUGUUCAGUGGGUAACAUGCUGUUUGCUAUUGCUGUGCUUUUAUUGGGCGUCUGCGGUUGUGACCGGUUCAAGUCCACUUCAAUCGGAGAUGUUAUUGAGUCGAUAGUGAAGAAGGACGGAUACAGAGGGCUCGUGAGAGGAUGGAUUCCGCGAAUGCUUUUCCAUGCUCCUGCUGCCGCAAUAUGC